rnacentral:lncRNA from 1 species
UUCACUUCCCUUGGAGUUCUCUUUCCUUGUUCUCUUCGAUACUCUAAGCGAAGGAUCACCAUACACAUGAUGUUCUUCAUGACGGCAUCGUGGAUUCGGCGUGAUUGACGGCUGUUCGUGGAUUCGGAUCGUGAGCUUCGUGGAUUCGGAGUGGAGGCGUUUCGUGGAUUCGGAACGUGGCGUUCGUGGAUUCGAACGUGAGGGCGUGGACAACCCGGAGGAUUGCGCGAGAUUCGUAAGAGGUUAAGAGAGGUCGAGUCCGUAGAGUCGGUAAUCACCUUGUAAUCUUUUCUCUUAGUGAAUUAUUUUUUCGCGUGUUGGUCUCGUGGGUUUUUCUCCAAGUUGGAGUUUUCCCAUGUAAAUCUCGGUGUGAUUUUUAUUUUUCGCAUUUAUUUUUUAUCGCAUUGAGAUUUGUGAUUUUUGGCUAUUACACCUAUUCACCCCCCUUCUAGGUGUUAGACACAAUCUAGAUAGAUCCUUGGGCUCCUCAAAAUUUUUCAAUUGGUAUCAGAGUGGGAUCUAGAUAUAUUGAUAUCUAAUGGCCGAAGGCGGUAACAUUAAUCGACCACCACUCUUUGACGGCACAAAUUAUGCCUAUUGGAAAGUUCGCAUGAGAGCUUUUCUAAUUGCAAUCGAUGAGCGUGUAUAGAAAGCUAUUGAAUUUGGUUGGAAGCAUCCUACCGAAGUCGUCGAUAAUGCUACCGUUCCUAAACCACGGAACAAGUGGACGAAAGAUGAAAACGAGUCAUCUUCGUUUAACGGUAAAGAAAUUAAUGCUUUAUUCAAUGCUUUAUCGCAAACGGAAUUUACUCGUGUUUCGGCGUGUGAAACCGCCAAGGAGAUUUGGGAUACUCUACAAGUUACGCAUGAAGGAACUAGCUUAGUAAAGGUUCAAAAAUUGCAAAUUCUAACAAGCAAAUUUGACUCAAUUUUCAUGGAAGAAAACGAGACCUUUACCGCGACUUCAAGACAUUGUUAAUACAUGCGCUAACUUGGGAGGGAAAAUCUCGGAUUCUAAGGUUGUUCGAAAAAUUCUUCGGACUCUUCCAGAAUGCUUUCGGGCAAAAGUUGCCGCGAUCGAAACCGUUAAGCAUCCGGACGAGAUGAAAGUUGAAGAGUUAGAAGGUGCUUUACAAAUGUAUGAGAUGACUUUUCCUACUAACCCAUCUUCUUCCAAGUCUUUUUCUAAAAGUACAGGGAUUGCACUCAAAUCGACAAAGAAAGAAGACGACGACCCGGAUUCCGACGGAGAUAUUUCGCUCGCCGAUUUCGAAUAUCAAUUCGCGCUCCUCACGAAGAAGUUUUGCCGGAAUUUCCGAAAGAGCAAAUCAGACAAACCUUCAUCUUCGAAGCUUAAAUCCUCUUCUAAGCAUUAUUCUAAUUUAAAAUCUAAGGAUAAAAAAUUUGCAAAGUCUUCGAAUGAAAAAGAUGAGUUUGAAGGGGAAAUCCAAUGCUACAAAUGUAAAGGCUACGGUCACAUUGUAACGGAUUGUCCUUCUAAGAAGACUUAUAGACAAAAAGCUUUGCAAGCAAAAACUUGGGAUGAUUCUACUUCGAGUGAAUCAUCUUCAAGUGACGAAGAAAAGAAUGAUCAUAUUGCUUUACUUGCUAAUAAUUCUUUGCCUUCGUCUAAUGUUAUGUGCUUAUCCUUAAUUGUUUCUAAUUUUAGUAUUUCUCCAUCCGUGCAAGGUACUUCGAGCGAUAUCGGUGAAAGCGAGGAGGAAUCAAACGACGAGGAUAUAGCGGAAGCAUACAACCAACUUCUUAUUGAUUCGAAAAAGAUGACCAAGCUCAAUAAGAAGUUAAGGCGUAGGUUAUUGGAUAUUGAAGAGAAGAACAAAAAUUUGAAGACAAUGAAUAAAGCUCUUGAGGAGGAAAAGGAAUUGAUUUUGAAGAAUAACUUAAUCCUCCAAGAGAAACUUGAUGAAGCGGAUUUAACGAUCAAAUCAUCUAAAGACAGGAUUGGAUUUUUAGAGCAACAAUUCGAGGAAUCGCACACAUCCAACAAGUCAUUGACCAAUCAAGUUUGUCAACUUCAAUCCGACAUACAAAAAUUCUCUUCUGGAUCAAAGAAAUUAAAUCAUAUGCUCGGAUUAGGUCAAACGAACAAGUUGGACCUCGGGUAUGAAAGAACGUACGUUGAGAAGGAUUUAACGACAACUACUAAAAUCUCAACAAAUUCAGACAAAAAGGUAUGUCAUCAAUGUGGCAUCAAAGGACACAUCAAAAAGAAUUGCCCAAAUAAGGAAAAGAAGAAUCAAUCGGCAAUGUCUACACAUCGAUCGGCAACUACGAAUCAUCGAUCGGCAACUACGAAUUAUCAAGCGGCAUCAUCAACUACUCAACAUCCCCCACGGAAUCAAAAGAAAAAUCAAUCGAGUCGAGUACCUCGAGGGAACCGGACUUUUAAGCCGCAACGUCAAGUUCGACCGUUCCCACAAGCAAACCGGAAUUCAAAGUUUAAUCAACAAUUCCAACCGAAGCCUCAAGCAACGAAACGACCAACGGUUGAUAAAAAAUCAAAGCAAAUUGUGCUUAACGUCGACAAGACAAGACAACACAAAAUCCGACAAGUUUGGAUUCGGAAAGGUGAUAUCUUUCCUUGCUCUUCGUCUUAGUUUGUUUUGAUUGUUUAUGUAAUGCUUUGUUUGAUGCUUGUUGCAUAUUUUUAUUCAUUGCAUUACAUGAUGGUUUCCGUGUGUAAAAUUUGCUUUUAAAAAUUGAUUUGAGGAAAGGUGUUUGGGAAUUUAAAUUUUUUUUGAGAAAGGAGAUGAUUGAAAAUCAUUAUUUUUGGGAGAUUAAAUUUUUUUCAAAGUGCUUUAAACGGUAUUUAACUGAAAUUCAUCUUGAAUUAAAUUCAUAUUAAUUAUCGGUUUUACUCCACUGUUUAUAAUUUUGACGAUAAUUGAUUAUAUGAAUUCUUAAUACAUAUAUUCAUCAAAAUUUUAAAAUAAAUUUUGAUCUCUUGGUGAUUAAUCUAUCUUGGUUUUGUGUGUUGGAUAUGAUAGAUGGAUAUUCACUAAUAGACUAAAAUUUGUUAAAAUUAUUUUCAAUUGUGAGAUUGUCUAAUUUAGGGGGGUUUGAAAUUAUUUAAAAAAAAAAAGAGGAGAAACUCCUAUGUUUAAAAGAUGUGGAAAGAGUUACAUUCAAAAGGAGUGUGAAAAUUACCACCACAUGUAGGAAAGAGCUACCACCCCGGUCGUCCGGCAAGUGUGUGAAGCUACUACAUGAAGAUUGAAUUGAAUAACCGAAAAGGUUGGAAAAAAUUGAAUAUUUUAGAAUUUUCGGAGUUAUAAGGUGUUAGGAUGAAAAAGAUGCUCAAAGAACCACCUCUGGUAUCAUAUUAGUUAAAUCUCUAUUUUGAACGGAUUGCGACAAAUUGGUGUCAAUUUUGCCAAAUUUCUAAAAAUCAUUUUUCGUGAAUCAUUACAUCUUGAUGAUUUUGAAACACGAGAUUAUUUUUGAUAAUAAAAUUUUGAUGUUUCGAUGUAUUUUGAAAUCUUAUAAUAUUUUACCUUCAUUAUAAUGAUUUUUAGAGUAAAGUCCUUAAUUUGUAUAAAAUUAAUUUAAAGUUUAAAGGUUUUUAAAUUCAAAUUUUCAAAAUCUGGGAAAGUGUACCGGUACAAAAUCCCCUAUACCGGUACAAAUCAUUGUAGUCGCGGUAAUAAAACCGAUUACAGGGCUUUAUUUCUCCUCCAAACCUUUACCAAAUUUCGUUCUCUUUCUCUCUAAAAUUCCCAGGAGACUUCCUCUUCCAGAUCUACUCGGUUUUCCCAAAAAUCUGUGAGUAUUUAGCUUGGAUUUAAUCAUUUCAUCGCGUUCUUGCUUAUUUUUCGAAAAUAUUCCGAGUUGAAGCUAGAUCUCUGUUUUGAUUCAUUUUUGAUGCAAUUUUUUGCUUCGUUUCAGUUUAUAUAUGCAUGUAUUCUUGCUUCUAGAACAUUUAGAUCAUGUCAUAAUGCAUUAUUUUUCGCUGAUCAAUGAUCUUUACCUCAUUAAACAUGGAAUUUCGAGAUUUUUGUUGGAAUGUCAUUUUUUGAUGAAAUUUUUUGCAUGGAUGAGUUUGAAAUAGCAUUAGUAUGCAUUCUAAGAAUAUUAGAUAUUUUUUCACUAUUUUUACAGAUUUUUUCAAAAUUUUGUUCAUGUAUGGCUCAUUUUUAAUGUAGGAAAAAUAGCGUUCUCACUUGUGAUACUGCUUUUGGUGCUUAUGGCCGCUGGUCGUGGUCGUGGUGGUGGUCGAGGACGUCGCGGGACAUCCAAGAGAACUCGUACUGCCAACGAGUCAUCAGGAUCUGAUCCGGAUUAUCAAGCAAGCUCACCUGAAACUACUGAAGAAGCUGUUACUAGGGCUGCUAAAGGAAAAGGCAUAGCUGGAGAAUCCUCGCGCGGAGGUGGUUCUCGUGCGCGUGAGAGUCACUCCAAACGUGCUGCAGAGGUUUCAUCAGAGCGACGGAGGAUAUAUUUGAGCCGAUCAGUUCUAGCUGAGCGCUAUGCCAACUUUACUGAUCUGAUCAAGGUGGUUCCAGAUUUUUGUCGAUUGCUGCAGAGAGUCCCUAUUGAGCCCGUUUGACGGGUUCCAGCUCGUGCUCCAUUCUGUGUGGAACUCAUUCGGGAGUUCUACAUGAGCAGGAUGGUGCUUGCAGAGAAUGAGGAAACUGGGACUUAUGUGUUUGAGACAUAUGUGCAGCAACAGAAGAUUCAAGUAACUCCUUACACGAUUGGAGAGCACUUAGGGAUGCAUAUUGAUACUACCAGUCUUCACUAUACGACAGGGCUUUAUCAGUCUUCGACCCACUGGGAGACUGUUAUUCGAGCGAUCUGCAAGGAAGGCGUGAGGACGAAUCAUUCAUACGUGGAAUCCAAGGAUUUGCGACCCGAGUAUCAUUUACUCUCCUUGGUCAUGUGCUACAAUGUUCAACUUACAAUUGGAACAAAAAGGAUUCGUUGGGAUCGUCUGGUGCUUCUAUAUCUUCUUGGACAUCUUGAGCAAGCGGACGUGUUAAAUAUCAAUCUUCUUGGACAUCUUGAGCAAGCGGACGGGUUAAAUAUCAAUAUUCCCUUUCUGAUGUGGCAAAGAAUGGCACAUGUUAUACAGUCUCCAGUUCGACGUGAUCUACUUCGUUUCUGUUGUUGAUCACGAGGAUUCUGCAAGACCACGGAGUUGACGUGUCGUGUGAGAAGUACGACACUAGACUUGGACUGAUCAAUGCAGUAACUUGGGCCAAGUCGGUGAGCACACUAAAGACAUUUCAGCAAACUAAGGGAUCAUCCAAAGGAGCUUCUAGUUCAGCACCUCUACCUCGAGCAGAGCGUGGGGGAUCUUCCAGUUCAGGGGGAGUGAUUACUGUAGAAUCACUUCACCAUGAGGUGCGCUCUUUAAAGAAGAAAGUGGCUGAUCUUACUAAGAAAGUGGAGGUGGGAAUAAAGCGGAUUUUGGAGAAGCUAGGCUGUAGGCAUGACGACGUGUUUCCUACUCAGCCUACCUACACCACUUACACGAGGUCUACGUCACUACAUCCACUCAUUUCACCAUCCAGUGGUGCUCCUGAGGCUGGGGGAUCUGGAGCUGGAGCAAGAGACGAUGAUGAUGAUGAUGAUGACGAGGACACUGAGUGACUCCUUCCUCGAGCUCGGUUUUUUUUUUCUUUGUUUUUUAGGACGUUGUUUAGUUUAGUUGUGCUUGUUGCUUUACUUUGCUUUUGCAUUUAUUUGCUUUUAGGCCUGUAACUAUGACAUGACUACUCAUGCUUUCUAGUAUGCUUUCUCUAUUUAUAUACUUUAUCUUUGGCAAUUUUUGACAAAAAGGGGGAGAGCAAUAAUGAACAGGUAUUGGUCGUAGCAAAGGAGAAGAAGGAAUAAAGAACAAAGUGGGAGAAGGAGUGAAAUUCGAGGAGAAGAAGGAAGAGAAGAAGGAAUAAAGAACAAAGGGGGAGAAGGAGUGAAAUUCGAGGAGAAGAAGGAAUGAAAUUUUGAGGACAAUGAUGAAGAAAAAAUGACUUCAAUGUGAGAAUGUCGAAUGUUUGUCGUUUUCUAUAUUAUUUUGGAUAAUCUGUUUUGCAGAAAAUCAAGACUUCAAGACUCCUAGUUGCGUCUAAGUCAUAGAGUCUGUUUUAGGAGUUUUUGAUGUACUUUAGAGUUUCAAAUUGUAUUUGGACUACAUGCGAGGGGUUUGAUGUUUUGGUGAUGACAUUGAACUUCGUUUUGCUUUAAGAUGUAAUUUUUGAGUUGUUAUGAGUUUUGUCACGAAAUUGCCAAAUGGGGAGAUUGUUAAGUCUUAUGUGUUGGCAAGUUUCGUGAAGAGAGUCAGAGUCUUGAAGAAUCGGUGCGUAUCGUUGAAGAUCGAAGAAUUCAAGAUUUCGAAGAAAUUGGAAAAAUAACUCACGACAUGAAUCACGAUGCCCAGGUAAAGUUUUAAUUCAUAUUAUGGUGAUUCAUACUUAGUUGUAGGUAUUAGAAUCAUAAUAUCAAAGUUUACUGGAUUAGAAAGUGCAUCGGAACUUUGCAAAACCCGAAACGGUGAAAUUUUGCAAAGUGUACCAGUACAGCAUCAGAAGUGUACCGGUACAAAAUGUGUUCCGGUACAACCAUCAACUUGUGAUCGGUUUCAAUGUUUCGUCAGUUUUUCGUUCCGUCAUCGUGUAACCGGUAACAGCUUAAAGUGUACCGGUACACAAUGUAAUUUUCAGAAAAACUUUCUAAUCCGACUCCAAUUGAUUCUAAAGUCUAUAAAUAAGCUACUGGGGUUCUCUAACAUAUCAAGCAUCAUGAGAAUUCAUGUUUGAGAAACCCUAGAGGCUAGGAUUUCGUGCUAAACCUAUUUUCUACAAAAUAGCCUCUUUUAGGUCAAAUCGAGAGAUUGUUAUUUGAUAUCAAUAUGUCGAUUUGAUCUUCGCUUCGCUUGGAGUUCUCUUUUCUUGUUCUCUUUGAUACUCUAAGCGAAGGAUCACCAUACAUAUGAUGUUCUUCAUGACGGCGUCGUGGAUUCGGCGUGAUUGACGGCGAUUCGUGGAUUCGGAUUGUGAGCUUCGUGGAUUCGGAGUGGAGGCAUUUCGUGGAUUCGGAAUGUGGCAUUCGUCGAUUCGAACGUGAGGGCGUGGACAACCCGGAGGAUUGCGCGAGAUUCGUAAGAGGUUAAGAGAGGUCGAGUCCGUGGAGUCGGUAAUCACCUUGUAAUCUUUUCUCUUAGUGAAUUAUUUUUUCGCGUGUUGGUCACGUGGAUUUUUCUCCAAGUUGGAGUUUUCCCACGUAAAUCUCGGUGCGAUUUUUAUUUUUCGCAUUUAUUUU